rnacentral:lncRNA from 1 species
UAAAAUUAUGCAAUUUAAUAUGAAGAAAUUAUUGGAUGUCUGUUUUCAAACACAAUUGGUUUCACUCAAAAAGGAGUUACUAUCUCAAGAUACAGAGGUUCUAUUGUGACUGAUGCACAUUAACUUGCAAAACAGAACAAUUCAUUUCAUAAUGUUACGAAAUAAUGUACAAAUAAUAUAAAAUUACACAACUUUCAAGUAUCAUAAUACUAUAAAUUAGCUUUCAAAUACAGUUAUUUUCACUAAAGAAUGAGUUUUAUUCCAAAAACUAACUAACUUAAGAUUAUGCAUGAGGAAUGAGGGAUAAGAAGAAACCCAUCUCUAAUUGAUGAUGAGUAAGUUUUUCUCUCCUCUAAUCCUUUGCCCUUAGCUUUUCUCCAAUCUUUUCCCAAUUCUUGAAACCUUAUUCUCCAUUUGUUCUUCUUUGCUUCCAAUAUUCUGCACAAAUCUCUUUGUUUUUAACCCUAAAACAAUGUGUUUAAUAUAACGGUUCACUUGCAUGUGGAUUUUCUUGGUGAUUACAUGAAUAAUGUUGAAAGAAAAUGAUGAAAAUGGUGAGGAAGGAUAUAGUACAAUUUAGAGUUGAGAGAGCGAGAUCCUAAGAUACCUCUUUUAAUUUGAUCAUUGGACAAUUUAUUUGGUCAAUGUGUACGAAGUGUGUCCAUUGAUGGAGGUUUGGCUUUUCCGCUUUGUAGUUCUCUCUCUUCGUUGUUGGAGCUUUUGUCAUGGGUUUGUCUAGGUGUCUUUAAAAUGGAUAUAUUGG